rnacentral:rRNA from 1 species
UACGUAGGGUCCGAGCGUUGUCCGGAAUUAUUGGGCGUAAAGGGCUCGUAGGCGGCCAACUAAGUCAGACGUGAAAUCCCUCAGCUUAACUGGGGAACUGCGUCUGAUACUGGAUGGCUUGGAUCCGGAAGAGGGAUGCGGAAUUCCAGGUGUAGCGGUGAAAUGCGUAGAUAUCUGGAGGAACACCGGUGGCGAAGGCGGCAUCCUGGGCCGGUAUUGACGCUGAGGAGCGAAAGCCAGGGGAGCAAACGGG